rfam:Ciona savignyi cont_37058, whole genome shotgun sequence.
GCUUAUCACCAUUCCAGAUUAAAUAUACCCGAUCUCGUCUGAUCUCGGAAGUCAAGCAAUCUCGGGCUUGGUUAGUAGGGGAUGG